rnacentral:rRNA from 1 species
AAAAAUGCACAUGCUGUGAGCUCGAUGAGUAGGGCGGGACACGUGGUAUCCUGUCUGAAUAUGGGGGGACCAUCCUCCAAGGCUAAAUACUCCUGACUGACCGAUAGUGAACCAGUACCGUGAGGGAAAGGCGAAAAGAACCCCGGCGAGGGGAGUGAAAAAGAACCUGAAACCGUGUACGUACAAGCAGUGGGAGCACGCUUAGGCGUGUGACUGCGUACCUUUUGUAUAAUGGGUCAGCGACUUAUAUUCUGUAGCAAGGUUAACCGAAUAGGGGAGCCGAAGGGAAACCGAGUCUUAACUGGGCGUUAAGUUGCAGGGUAUAGACCCGAAACCCGGUGAUCUAGCCAUGGGCAGGUUGAAGGUUGGGUAACACUAACUGGAGGACCGAACCGACUAAUGUUGAAAAAUUAGCGGAUGACUUGUGGCUGGGGGUGAAAGGCCAAUCAAACCGGGAGAUAGCUGGUUCUCCCCGAAAGCUAUUUAGGUAGCGCCUCGUGAAUUCAUCUCCGGGGGUAGAGCACUGUUUCGGCAAGGGGGUCAUCCCGACUUACCAACCCGAUGCAAACUGCGAAUACCGGAGAAUGUUAUCACGGGAGACACACGGCGGGUGCUAACGUCCGUCGUGAAGAGGGAAACAACCCAGACCGCCAGCUAAGGUCCCAAAGUCAUGGUUAAGUGGGAAACGAUGUGGGAAGGCCCAGACAGCCAGGAUGUUGGCUUAGAAGCAGCCAUCAUUUAAAGAAAGCGUAAUAGCUCACUGGUCGAGUCGGCCUGCGCGGAAGAUGUAACGGGGCUAAACCAUGCACCGAAGCUGCGGCAGCGACGCUGAUGCGUUGUUGGGUAGGGGAGCGUUCUGUAAGCCUGCGAAGGUGUGCUGUGAGGCAUGCUGGAGGUAUCAGAAGUGCGAAUGCUGACAUAAGUAACGAUAAAGCGGGUGAAAAGCCCGCUCGCCGGAAGACCAAGGGUUCCUGUCCAACGUUAAUCGGGGCAGGGUGAGUCGACCCCUAAGGCGAGGCCGAAAGGCGUAGUCGAUGGGAAACAGGUUAAUAUUCCUGUACUUGGUGUUACUGCGAAGGGGGGACGGAGAAGGCUAUGUUGGCCGGGCGACGGUUGUCCCGGUUUAAGCGUGUAGGCUGGUUUUCCAGGCAAAUCCGGAAAAUCAAGGCUGAGGCGUGAUGACGAGGCACUACGGUGCUGAAGCAACAAAUGCCCUGCUUCCAGGAAAAGCCUCUAAGCAUCAGGUAACAUCAAAUCGUACCCCAAACCGACACAGGUGGUCAGGUAGAGAAUACCAAGGCGCUUGAGAGAACUCGGGUGAAGGAACUAGGCAAAAUGGUGCCGUAACUUCGGGAGAAGG